AGCAGCAGUGUGGAGGAGGGAGGUUCCUAUGUAGCAGCAGUGUGUAGGAGGGAGGUUCCUAUGUGACAGCAGUGUGGAGGAGGGAGGUUCCUAUGUGGCAGCAGUGUGUAGGAGGGAGGUUCCUAUGUGGCAGCAGUGUGUAGGAGGGAGGUUCCUAGGUAGCAGCAGUGUGGAGGAGGGAGGUUCCUAUGUGGCAGCAGUGUGUAGGAGGGAGGUUCCUAUGUGGCAGCAGUGUGGAGGAGGGAGGUUCCUAUGUGGCAGCAGUGUGGAGGAGGGAGGUUCCUAUGUGGCAGCAGUGUGGAGGAGGGAGGUUCCUAUGUAGCAGCAGUGUGGAGGAGGGAGGUUCCUAUGUGGCAGCAGUGUGGAGGAGGGAGGUUCCUAUGUGGCAGCAGUGUGGAGGAGGGAGGUUCCUAUGUAGCAGCAGUGUGUAGGAGGGAGGUUCCUAGAUGUUCCUAUGUGGCAGCAGUGUGUAGUAGGGAGGUUCCUAUGUGGCAGCAGUGUGGAGGAGGGAGGUUCCUAGGUAGCAGCAGUGUGGAGGAGGGAGGUUCCUAUGUAGCAGCAGUGUGGAGGAGGGAGGUUCCUAUG